rnacentral:rRNA from 1 species
UACGUAGGCAGCAAGCGUUGUUCGGAGUUACUGGGCGUAAAGGGUGUGUAGGCGGUUGGAUAAGUGUGGUGUGAAAUCUCCCGGCUCAACUGGGAGGGUGCGCUACAAACUGUCUGACUAGAGUGCGGGAUGGGAAAGUGGAAUUCCUGGUGUAGCGGUGAAAUGCGUAGAUAUCAGGAGGAACACCGGUGGUGUAGACGGCUUUCUGGACCGUAACUGACGCUGAGACACGAAAGCGUGGGUAGCAAACAGG